ACGAUGCGUAGCCGACCUGAGAGGGUGAUCGGCCACACUGGGACUGAGACACGGCCCAGACUCCUACGGGAGGCAGCAGUAGGGAAUCUUCCGCAAUGGACGAAAGUCUGACGGAGCAACGCCGCGUGAGUGAUGAAGGUUUUCGGAUCGUAAAGCUCUGUUGUUAGGGAAGAACAAGUGCGAGAGUAACUGCUCGCACCUUGACGGUACCUAACCAGAAAGCCACGGCUAACUACGUGCCAGCAGCCGCGGUAAUACGUAGGUGGCAAGCGUUGUCCGGAAUUAUUGUGCGUAAAGGGCUCGCAGGCGGUUUCUUAAGUCUGAUGUGAAAGCCCCCGGCUCAACCGGGGAGGGUCAUUGGAAACUGGGAAACUUGAGUGCAGAAGAGGAGAGUGGAAUUCCACGUGUAGCGGUGAAAUGCGUAGAGAUGUGGAGGAACACCAGUGGCGAAGGCGACUCUCCUGGUCUGUAACUGACGCUGAGGAGCGAAAGCGUGGGGAGCGAACAGGAUUAGAUACCCUGGUAGUCCACGCCGUAAACGAUGAGUGCUAAGUGUUAGGGGGUUUCCGCCCCUUAGUGCUGCAGCUAACGCAUUAAGCACUCCGCCUGGGGAGUACGGUCGCAAGACUGAAACUCAAAGGAAUUGACGGGGGCCCGCACAAGCGGUGGAGCAUGUGGUUUAAUUCGAAGCAACGCGAAGAACCUUACCAGGUCUUGACAUCCUCUGACAACCCUAGAGAUAGGGCUUUCCCUUCGGGGACAGAGUGACAGGGGGGGUGCAUGGUUGUCGUCAGCUCGUGUCGUGAGAUGUUGGGUUAAGUCCCGCAACGAGCGCAACCCUUGAUCUGAGGGUGCCAGCAUUCAGUUGGGCACUCUAAGGUGACUGCCGGUGACAAACCGGAGGAAGGUGGGGAUGACGUCAAAUCAUCAUGCCCCUUAUGGCGUGGGCUACACACGUGCUACAAUGGACAGAACAAAGGGCUGCAAGACCGCAAGGUUUAGCCAAUCCCAUAAAUCUGUUCUCAGUUCGGAUCGCAGUCUGCAACUCGACUGCGUGAAGC
rnacentral:rRNA from 1 species